CAACUACUCCCUCCGUCCGGAAUUACUUGUCAUCAAAAUGGAUGUGUCUAGAACUAAAAUACAUCCAGAUACAUCCAUUUCAAUGACAAGUAUUUUCGGAUGGAGGGAGUACAAG
rfam:Triticum aestivum genome assembly, contig: Triticum_aestivum_CS42_TGACv1_scaffold_003293_1AL